CAAAGAGCAAGCCCUCAAUAAAUUGUAGCUAUUAUGUUUUUUCCAAGCAGAUGUAGUCCCUGCCCUGUAGAAAUGUGUGCUUUGAACCAGCUAAUAUUUACUCUGAUUCCUUUUUGAAAUGAUAAAUGGCAGAGAUUGGGCAAGGUCAGCUUUAUGUGCAGUAGGAGCUAGUGUGAUCUAAGGCUUUGCUACUCAAAGCCUUCAGUAGCAUGGACCAGGGCAUCAGCAUCCCCUGAUGUAAGAAAU
rnacentral:lncRNA from 1 species